rnacentral:rRNA from 1 species
UCAGCUCGUGUCGUGAGAUGUUGGGUUAAGUCCCGCAACGAGCGCAACCCCUACGUUUAGUUGCUAACAGGUGAAGCUGAGCACUCUAGACGAACUGCCGUUGACAAAACGGAGGAAGGUGGGGAUGACGUCAAAUCAUCAUGCCCCUUAUGUUCUGGGCUACACACGUGCUACAAUGGCCGGUACAGACGGAGGCGAAGCCGCGAGGCGGAGCAAAUCCGAAAAAGCCGGUCUCAGUUCGGAUUGCAGGCUGCAAUUCGCCUGCAUGAAGUCGGAAUCGCUAGUAAUCGCAGGUCAGCAUACUGCGGUGAAUACGUUCCCGGGCCUU